CAGUUGCAUUGCAGCUCCCCUCUCCUCUCACUUGAAUUUACAUAUGAAAAGCUUAAAACAGGAGAGGAGAGGGGAGCUGCAAAGCAACUGUUCUCAACUAGAAUUUCCCUUUAAUAUUCAUGCCCGACUUCCACAAUGAACAGAAAGAAACCGGCUGCCCUUUCCAGCAUAACCCAACACACUCAUCUUUUUCUUCUAUUCUCAUCUCCCAGUUAUUGUCGUACUUCCUUAACAAAGCCCGACCUCCAUCAAUGACAUCCUCUCCAAAAACCUCACCUACAAACCCUACCCCUCUCAUCCUUUCACACCAUUUCUCUUUCCC
rnacentral:misc_RNA from 1 species